rnacentral:rRNA from 1 species
AGCUCCAAUAGCGUAUAUUAAAGUUGUUGCGGUUAAAAAGCUCGUAGUUGGAUUUCUGUGACAGACAACCGGUCUACCCUUGGGGUAAGUAUUGGUAUGGCUGUUGCAUCCUCUCGUGGAACGUUUUCUUGAUUGAUUUCUUGAGGCGGGCAGCGAGACUUUUACUUUGAGGAAAUUAGAGUGUUCACGGCAGGCAUGCGCCUUGAAUAUAUUAGCAUGGAAUAAUAAUAUAGGAUCUUCGCUCCUAUUUUGUUGGUUUCUAGGGUGAAGAUAAUGAUUAAUAGGGACAGUUUGGGGGCAUUUGUACUAAAGCGUCAGAGGUGGAAUUCUUAGAUUGCUUUAUGACAAACUACUGCGAAAGCAUUUGCCAAGGAUGUUUUCA